GGGUUGUAGCAAUACAAUCGCUGGCGACCGGCAAACGGGUGCGGAACACGUACGCAACCUUCCUUUAAGUGGAGGAUAGCCCGGGGAAACCCGGAUUAAUACUCCGUAACAUUAUGAGGUGGCAUCAUCUUAUAAUUAUAGCUCCGGCGCUUAAAGAUGGGCGUGCGUCUGAUUAGGUAGUUGGCGGGGUAACAGCCCACCAAGCCUACGAUCAGUAACUGGUGUGAGAGCACGACCAGUCACACGGGCACUGAGACACGGGCCCGACUCCUACGGGAGGCAGCAGUAAGGAAUAUUGGUCAAUGGACGCAAGUCUGAACCAGCCAUGCCGCGUGGAGGAUGAAGGUCCUCUGGAUUGUAAACUUCUUUUAUCUGGGAAGAAACCCACGGUUUCUACUGUGGUUGACGGUACCAGAUGAAUAAGCACCGGCUAACUCCGUGCCAGCAGCCGCGGUAAUACGGAGGGUGCAAGCGUUAUCCGGAUUCACUGGGUUUAAAGGGUGCGUAGGCGGGCAGGUAAGUCAGUGGUGAAAUCUCCGGGCUUAACCCGGAAACUGCCGUUGAUACUAUCUGUCUUGAAUAUCGUGGUGGUGAGCGGAAUAUGUCAUGUAGCGGUGAAAUGCUUAGAUAUGACAUAGAACACCAAUUGCGAAGGCAGCUCGCUACACGGUUAUUGACGCUGAGGCACGAAAGCGUGGGGAUCAAACAGGAUUAGAUACCCUGGUAGUCCACGCCCUAAACGAUGAUUACUCGACAUCAGCGAUACACUGUUGGUGUCUGAGCGAAAGCAUUAAGUAAU
rnacentral:rRNA from 1 species